GAUGAACGCUGGCGGCGUGCCUAAUACAUGCCAGUCGAGCGAACAGACGAGGAGCUUGCUCCUCUGACGUUAGCGGCGGACGGGUGAGUAACACGUGGAUAACCUACCUAUAAGACUGGGAUAACUUCGGGAAACCGGAGCUAAUACCGGAUAAUAUAUUGAACCGCAUGGUUCAAUAGUGAAAGACGGUUUUGCUGUCACUUAUAGCUGGAUCCGCGCCGCAUUAGCUAGUUGGUAAGGUAACGGCUUGCCAAGGCAACGAUGCGUAGCCGACCUGAGAGGGUGAUCGGCCACACUGGAACUGAGACGCGGUCCAGACUCCUACGGGAGGCAGCAGUAGGGAAUCUUCCGCAAUGGGCGAAAGCCUGACGGAGCAACGCCGCGUGAGUGAUGAAGGUCUUCGGAUCGUAAAACUCUGUUAUUAGGGAAGAACAAAUGUGUAAGUAACUAUGCACGUCUUGACGGUACCUAAUCAGAAAGCCACGGCUAACUACGUG
rnacentral:rRNA from 1 species